UGUUUGUGCUGGAAGCCCUGAGUCUCAUUGUGGCUUUUUCCUGAAAUGUCAUACAUCAUGUCUAGUCCAAAGAUCAGAGUGGGGAGGAAGCAGCAAGAAAAACUCGAAGUCAUUCUUAAGGCAAUAUUGCUGUUACCGUAUACAAUGUUCUCUUGGUUCUGCUGGCUUCACUCUUCAUCAAAUAAAGGACUUACGAAGAGAGACACUAUCUGCAUGCAGAGAAAGAACUGGUAAAUAGAAUGCUUUCCUGGACUUAAAUUUCACCAUGGAUGACAUCAUAAGAAAUAAAUUCCAAUGAUGUAGUUCCUUACUAUGGUUU
rnacentral:lncRNA from 1 species